rnacentral:ncRNA from 2 species
CAGGAAGCCGGUGUGAAUCCGGCACGGUCCCGCCACUGUGACCGGGGAGCCAACCCCGCCACGACCACGGCGCACAGCUGGAAGGUCGGGGUGAGCGCUGAUCCGGGAGUCAGGAUACUG